rnacentral:misc_RNA from 1 species
GAACGCACCUUGCGCUCCUUGGUAUUCCGAGGAGCAUGCCUGUUUGAGUGUCGUGAAAUUAUCAACCUUCUAGCUUUUAUUAGCUAGUUAGGCUUGGAUUUUGGAGGUUGCUGGUUUCCUAGAAAUCAGCUCUUCUUAAAUUUAUUAGCAAAGUCUUUGCUGACCAUCAUUGGUAUGAUAAUUAUCUAUAUCAUUGAGAAUCAGCUUUCCAUCUUGGAAGGGUUUUGCUUCUAAUGGUCUAUACAGACAACUUGACAAUUUGACCUCAAAUCAGGUAGGACUACCCGCUGAACUUA